GAGAAACAAUGGAUUGCCAUCCUGUUUGGGUUACCAACAUUUAAGGGUGACCUGUCUGUCCCCUUUAGGAGCAGUGGGGCCAGGGCCAGCCAUCCCAGUUCCAAGGCACGGCCCCCCUAAGGAUAGGCGAUCCAGGGAAGGAUCAGCAGACACUUCUGGCUUGUCUCAGCCAGAUGACUAAAGAUGCUCAUCAGAGGAACACUUCAGUUCCCAGGAGCUCCAUCAACACAGCUGAGUUAAGCAGAGUGAAAAGAGUGCACACACAAUGCUACUAAUGGAUUCAGAGGCUGUCUCUCAAAAGACACAACACAGAAGAGGCAGCCCAGAAGGAGGUGCUUUUCCUGCUUUACCUGGCUGCCUAUGUGCUCUACUGUAGCUCAGAAUCCACAUGACUUGGAGAACUACAGUUGCUUUAGAGUCUGUCUAUUUAAGGUACCAAUAUAUCCCCCAUUACUGUAGUAUCUGAGCAUCUCAUAAUAUGUAUAACACCCAGUGAGGUAGGGCAAUGCUAUUAUCCCCAUUUUACAGAAGGGCACCAAGGCACACAGAGACUAACUUGUCCAGAGUCACUCAGGAAGCCUGCAGUGAAGCAAGGACUUAACGCAGGCCUACGGAGUCCUAGGCUAGUACCCUAAUGACUGGACUAUCUUUUCCACUCAUGGACUCCUGAUUCUGUCUUUCAACAGAGAGUAUGUAAAUAUUGCUGCUUAUCACAUAGCUUUAUAAAUGACAGAUUCCGUGGAGGAAACAGAACUAUCCCUACAUGAGUCCCCAUAAAGUUUAUGUUUUCAUAUGUACAGAACAUGAGAACUGGACCCAAAGUAACCGUUUCCUUUUACAGAAGACACGGUCUCUAUGUGCAGCCUGGCAAAGAACCAGUCAAUAUUAAUUUCUAAAUUUACUACAAAAUAAAAAGGAUAAUAGGGUGCUUCUAAAAAACACAAAAGACUGUCAACAAAUUUGUGUAGUCUGUGAUAUGUAGUUUAGUGAUGAGUUCCUAGGUGUUGGUAAUUUUUUUUAAAAUAAAAGUGAAAACCAAAGACCUCAAUUGGCAGAUGUUUGGGCCAGUCUUUGUAUGAAUGGUUCCUGGUUUCCUGAAGAAUGGUUUGAAACAGCCAUUGCCGGUGCUCCAUACAGAAUGUUUAUUGUUCUUUCUACUUUCCCAUUCUGUCAGUUGCUGUACAUGGCAAUUUUCUCACAUCAACUUUUACGUCCACCUACAGGCUUCCCAAAGCAUCUGUUCCAUUUGUACCUUUUUAACUCUUCAGCAUCUUUAAUGUUUGCAUCAGUUGUAUUUAAUAACUAAACAGCUCACCACUAAAACUGCCCAAAGACUCCAGUCCUCACCAAGACCAGCAGAUGAAAAUAAAAUGUGGAGUAUCUAGACUAAACAGUUCUGAGCUAUUACAAGCCAUAAAAAAGUUAGCAAAAUUUUCCAGAAGUGCAAACACCUCAUUCUCUGAACUCUCACAAGAAGGUGUAAAACUUUUUUUCUUGGAAAGUGCAUCAAAAGUGGCCAAAUGGAUUUGUAUGUAACUUUCACCAAAAAAUGACUUUACAAUUAAGAUUAUGCAUAAAAAAUUAUCUUCAAAGAUCUUUUUCUGUUAGAAAGUUAGAGGCAAAUCGAAAUAGAGGUUUAGAAUUAAAUCCCAUCUCAGCCUUUAUUUCACUCCUGUAUGGCUACCACAAACCUAAAAUAGGACUGACUGUAUUUUUAUUUUUAAAUUGCACUUCAUAUGUGAUCCUUUAAAUUAAUGGGAAAAUAGAGUGACCUUUGGCUGAACGGAUAGUUUAUGCAUGAACUAAACAGCAGGUUCCCGUUUCACUUUCCCACUUCUCUUUCUCUUCACUCUUCCACAUCCAAAUAUAAUUUGUAAAGCCUUUGGAGCCUUUCAUCUCACAUGUUACCCACUGGGUCCCACAAAACCGGUACCAAACUCAAGAUUCACAUGUAUUCUCCUCUGCCAGCAGGUGAGCAUAAUCCUUGUUUUAUAAGCAUAAUGAACAAUUCUCUUGUAUUUCAAAAUUAUUUCCAGAAUUCCCAGACAAAAAUCGCCAUAAAGGUAUAGUUCAGGUUGUAAAUAAAUGUCAGUUAAACUAAAACGUCAUCAGUCGAACACUAAUGAAAACCAUGGAAAUUUGAAGUUAUUGAUCAAAGAAAGAAACCAAUGUGAAUGAAGAUCAGAAAAUUCAUAGUUAAGGUUCCAAAAGCAAAGUAAUUCUAACCCAUUAUCCCUGCCCAUGAUGCAACAUAAAAUAACCAAGUAUCUAAUUCAUGCCAUAAUUUUUCAAAUAUGUGGACUCUUCCAAUCAGUAGAUAUUGUACAAGGCAGAUGAGACUGAUUGGGGCUUUGAUUCAUUGUGGAAUAGACACUAUAAUAGGUACUAUAAACCCAACUGUGUAUGAAGAUGUGGGAGGUUUUCUGGCUCUAAGUGGGUAAAUCAAGUGUUUGUUAACUUAUAUCUAUAACAUUCUGAUGUUUUAAUUUAAUAGAUAUUUACUCAUUAUAACUUUAACCCUGUCUUUACAAAAAUUUGGACUUAGAAUUCCUGACUCAAUUUUUUAGAAAGUAUUUUAAAAUAUUUAUCCAUGGAAAACUUGCUGUAAAUGUUUGUGUUUCUUUCUGAGAGUUUGCAAAGAAUAUUAGCAAGAAGAUUCAUGUAGUAACUGUGACU